UAAAGAAAGCGUAAUAGCUCACUGGUCGAGUCGGCCUGCGCGGAAGAUGUAACGGGGCUAAGUAGUAAACCGAAGCUGCGGCAAUGUGCUUUUGCACAUUGGGUAGGGGAGCGUUCUGUAAGCGGUUGAAGGUGUGUGGUAACGCAUGCUGGACGUAUCAGAAGUGCGAAUGCUGACAUGAGUAACGAUAAAGGGGGUGAAAAACCUCCUCGCCGGAAGACCAAGGGUUCCUGUCCAACGUUAAUCGGGGCAGGGUAAGUCGACCCCUAAGGCGAGGCCGAAAGGCGUAGUCGAUGGGAAACGGGUUAAUAUUCCCGUACUUCUUACAAUUGCGAUGGGGGGACGGAGAAGGCUAGGUGGGCCUGGCGACGGUUGUCCAGGUUCAAGUGCGUAGGCUUAAGAGUUAGGUAAAUCCGGCUCUUUUUAAGGCUGAGACACGACGUCGAGCACCUACGGGUGUGAAGUCAUUGAUGCCAUGCUUCCAGGAAAAGCCUCUAAGCUUCAGAUUGUAAGGAAUCGUACCCCAAACCGACACAGGUGGUCGGGUAGAGAAUACCAAGGCGCUUGAGAGAACUCGGGUGAAGGAACUAGGCAAAAUGGUACCGUAACUUCGGGAGAAGGUACGCUCUUGAUGGUGAAGUCCCUUGCGGAUGGAGCUGACGAGAGUCGCAGAUACCAGGUGGCUGCAACUGUUUAUUAAAAACACAGCACUGUGCAAAAUCGUAAGAUGACGUAUACGGUGUGACGCCUGCCCGGUGCCGGAAGGUUAAUUGAUGGGGUUAGACUUCGGUCGAAGCUCUUGAUCGAAGCCC
rnacentral:rRNA from 1 species